GGGUCCUCUUCACGGAGUCUGCCAUGUUGCUCUGCCAUGUUUCUACAGUAGCCCAGGACGGACAAACCAAACACUGGCUCUAGAGAGAGCCUUUCACGUUUCUACGUUACCUGAAGGCCACCAUAGUUCUCAGAAACGCUUGUCAAACUGCGGUAAGGUGAGUCGCAGAGUGUAAAACCGU